GGUAGCUCAGUGGAAGAGCACUUGCCUUGCAUGUAGGAGGCCCAGGUUCAAUCCCUGGCAUCACCU